CCAGACUCCUACGGGAGGCAGCAGUGGGGGAUAUUGCACAAUGGGGGAAACCCUGAUGCAGCGACGCCGCGUGAGUGAAGAAGUAUUUCGGUAUGUAAAGCUCUAUCAGCAGGGACGAAAAUGACGGUACCUGAGUAAGAAGCCCCGGCUAACUACGUGCCAGCAGCCGCGGUAAUACGUAGGGGGCAAGCGUUAUCCGGAAUUACUGGGUGUAAAGGGAGCGUAGACGGUGAAGUAAGUCUGGAGUGAAAGGCGGGGGCCCAACCCCGGACUGCUCUGGAAACUAUUUGACUGGAGUGCAGGAGAGGUAAGCGGAAUUCCUAGUGUAGCGGUGAAAUGCGUAGAUAUUAGGAGGAACACCAGUGGCGAAGGCGGCUUACUGGACUGUAACUGACGUUGAGGCUCGAAAGCGUGGGGAGCAAACAGGAUUAGAUACCCGAGUAUAU
rnacentral:rRNA from 1 species